UGGUUGAUUUCUUAGAAGUCUUGGUCUUCCCUUCACCAUUCUUUUACAACUGUCAUGAUUUUAUAUGACCUUUGUUGUCGCUUGACUUAUCUUUUAGAUAAUACAAUUUGUGAUGAAUUCUUAAAUUGUUGUCGCUGGUCUAAUUUCUUAAAAGUCUUUGCUUCUAUGUAUGCAAUUUAUGAGAGUUGGAUUCUAAGUUAAUGCCAAAAGCAGCAGUACACAACCACAAGCAAGCUAAGGAGGUAAUAAUCUUGGUAGUUAAGUCCUGGAUUCGGUAUUUUGCUUUUGGAUACAUGCUUGCUGCUAUCAGAACAUUGAAACUUUUUAGCAUUUCAUUUCUUAUAUGCUUCAUCCAGAUGAAACUGCGGUAAACAUAUGAACUGAUAUUUUGAUUUGCAAUUGAAAAUAUUUAAAGUUGAUUUUAUUUUUUGUGCAAUUCAAUUUUUUGUAUCUAGCUUGUAAGGUUCGUCAGAAAUAUGAGAUUAAGCUACAAAACUUUCUGUCUUUGCUUCAUAAUUUUCCAUUAUCUAAACCAACCAGAACCUAUUCUUGGUUUGUAGGUUGAGGGUGGAUACUUGGGAGUAUUUGGGUUAUGUAACCUCUUGACAUGUUAAUUGAUUCUAGACUUCUAGGUUUAUGUAAGGGGAUGUAAAAGAAACAACAAGUAACUCCCUUCUCCUUUCUUUUACAAGGUGAUAGUAAUACUUUGUUUAGGCUUAGUGUCACUUAUUGUAGGCCUCCUCUACAUCAUUUCCCAGUGCCGCCUCUUCUAGUUUGCCCCAACUGAGAGCAUUUGGCAGGUGAGAUUUCUUUGCAAACUUCUGUCCCUUUUUCUUCAAAGCAGUAACUAGAAUGAGUCCAGUUUAUUUAUCUUGUCCCAAUUGAUACUUUCUUUGUCAUCCUAUAGCCCAUGUUUAUUUAUGUUGAAGAGAUCUUCCAUUUACCAAUGACUAUUAUGGCUAAUUUCUUAGAAGUCUUUGCUUCAGAGUAUGUAGCUGAAAGUGGAUUCUAAGUUCAUGGAAAAAGAAGCAACGUGACCACAAGCAAACUAAGGAGGUCAUAAUCUUGGUAGUUAAGUCUUGGCUAUAGUAUUUUUCUUUCGGAUACAUGCUUGCUGCUAUUUCAGAACAUUGAAACUUCAUUUAGCAUUUGGUUUCUUAUAAGCUUCAUGCAAAUGAAACUGUAGUGAACAUAUGAACUGAGCUUUUGCUUG
rnacentral:lncRNA from 1 species